UUCGAUGGUGACGCUCUGUGACGCUAGUUUGACGAGAUACGUGCGGAGGGGGCGUGUGUUUACGUCUUUCAUGCUGUGCAUGACGUCAGUGUGUUUCACUGCCAUGUGUAAGUCUGUGUAACGCUCAUUCCGUGUGUGUAGUAUGUGCGCCUUUACUGAUAUCACGUCUGUACGUAGCAACGUGAAUACGUAACGUGUUCCUGACAGGCAAGUGAGGCGCCAAGCACCGUCUUUGCUGUUUGAAAAGCCAAAGCAAAACAAAGGUUUGCCUGCAGCAGCUGUUGUCGCUUUCAAGCUAGCAUGGAUCCGUUCAUCAAGUCGGUUAUGGAAUUUAUCUGCUUCAGUUUUCUCCUCAAUCAGGCAUGCGCUUUUGAUAAGGAAUUUGAGGAAAAAUGGCGCCGGAUACACACCCCCCCAAGGUUGCCUCCUGGAAUGAUCUUUAUAAUCGUGGUUGUGUUGAUGGUCGCAGCAAUCUGGGUUAUCUUGUGUUGCUGCUGGGUUCGACGAAAAGACAGCAUGUGUCAUGCCUGUCCCCACAUUCCACCACCACUGGCACCAGCUCCAGCUCCGGUGACAUCAGGUGCAAGGACACGUGCUUCACCGGAAGUGUACCCUGUGGUCCCAGGAGAAACGCGGUCUCCGGCUGUGUCGUAUCCACAACCUGCGUACUAUCCACAUCCAACCGCACCAUACCCUCAUGGACUCCCCUACAUGAAUAGCAACAUGGUACCACUGGUGCAGCCAUCUGCUGCACUGUUGCAAUCGCCGUCAUCACCAUUUGAUCCACCACCACCUUACAUCAACCAAACCAUACCCCCAGAAACCCAUUUCAGGAAGUCAUAGAUGAGCACAAGUGCGAAUAGUGAUUGGACAUGUUUUGGUGAGUCGUGAUCACCACUGUGAAUAGCAGUCACCACAGUGGCUCAUCGCUAUGGCAUUCUGCUACAGAGCACGAGGUCGUGGGUUCGAUUUUCGUAUACAAGGAUGUCAGCUGCAGCACAUGUUGUGUGACUCAUAUUCAGUCCUCAAUUCUGGUUCAGUUGUUACUUGUAUUGUUUAAAGAGAAGUAAUGGAGAAGGACAGGCUGCGGGCAUUGUAACAGUCUCACCUGUCGGUGGACAUCUUCUGGGACUGUCCUGUAGCCAAAGUAGUGAGAAAGAGGGAGAAAACGAAAGAAGGGGACAACACUAAAGGUGCUGCAGAAAAUGAAUUUGAACCCAACGAAAUAGUCCCAAAGAUUACAUGAAUAAGUACUAGAAACUAACGUGCUAUAUGUUUAUACAGAUAUCUAAAGAACAUAUACGCAAAAAAUAUUUUAAAAAAUUAUGCAGAGCCCACGCACUGUGGGAAUCGAUGUAAGCGAAGCUUUCUGUGCUGUUUGCUUUGACUGACGAUAAUUAGCGUUGAUGUUGACGGCGAAUGUUUAUUUUCUUCAACGUUUUGUCAACACCAGAGUGGUGAGUUGAUGUUAAACGUUACCGUGCGUGCACCACUGCUGUUUGUCUGCAUAGUACACAAAACACAAAGGGAGAAGUGUUUGCUUGAGGCGUUGUCAUGCGCUACAUUUGAUAACCUCUGAGAAGGUUGAGCAUUGUCAUUGCCUCAUAUGACAAAUCGCAUCGUGGCAGAAACGUUAAAACUUGAAUUGGAUUAUGGGGCUGUACGUACCAAAACCACAAUCUGAUUAUGAGGCAAGCCGUAGUUACGCACUCCGGAUUAAUUUUGGCACCGUGGUGUUCUUUAACAUGUUCAUAAAACAAAGAACGCGAGCGUUCUUUAUUUCGCCCACAUCAAAAUGUGGCUGCCUCGGUCAAAUCCACGACCUCAAGCAAUGCCAUAGCCGCAAAGCUAUGGUGGCAGGCACAGGAGUGUUGAUAUGACGUGCAACCGCUUCUGUUGUGUUGCCUAGACCCUGGGGUACGUUUUAAUCAAUGCGGCUCUGCUCCUGCACGCCCUGCAUAAGUUGUCCGCUAGACAUAUUUGUAUGGUUUUAUUUUUCAGAAGUAGCACAAACACACCGUACCGUACCUUGAACUUUAGUUCAUCUAGCAUUUUGUUGCCUUCUCACAUCACCUUUUCCCUAUCCCGCCCCUCUUGUAUUUGUAUGGGAACUGCGAGCAAAAAGUGGCAAGGCUGUUAUUCAGUCGUUUCAUGACUGCGUUAGCUCUACCCAUUCUCUGCCUUCUCUCCCUCCCUCCUCUCUUCCAUUGUAUCUAGUUUCCCUCUGGACGUUGGUAGAAAGGUAAGCGCUUGCGGGGGGUAAUGGAUGAUUACAGGUGUCAAGAAGCUAAUGCGGCAAUGACCCCGCAGCUCCAGAGGGCACUGCACAUUCGAUGCGGUGCGGUCCAAACAAGUAGCUCGCAUCUCUUUUCUUCUCUGUCCCGCUCCUUCCAUGUAUAUACACACUCUGAACCACCCCCUGAUGGGGUGUGCCGACAGCAGCACCAGCUCCAGCAGUGGGAAAGUCGAAGGAAAAGGCAAAGAAAGCUUCGCUUUAAUAAAUGCUAGUGCAUGUUGUACAGUAUGCUGUUCAAUGUUGCAGUGUGUGCUGUAAGGCCAGUCUGCUCCAGGGAAGUCACAGUCACAAUGCGAGCGUGCAAAUUCAUGUUGUGCCUUCGGGAAAGAGCGACAAAGUCUUGGCGUUGGAGUGGCAUGUGUUGCACAUUUAAUGGUCAAGUGCUCAAGACUCUCGUGUGAGGUUGCAGUCAGGGGCCAGUGAUCGGCUUUGGAUACCUCGUUUGCACACGGUUUGCACUUGUAUCAUUGUUGUGUACCAUUUUACUGUAGUACAGUAGCUAGCUGGGCGAGUUGGUACAUCUGCAUUAUUGCAUAGAGCGUGCACUUCAAAGACAGACAAAGAAAGACGAUACACAGUGCUCGUGUAUCAUUUCUCUUCUUUGUCCGUGUUUGAAGAGUGCAUUGUGAGUAAUAAUACCAUUUUACUCGUCCUUGUUAUGGACCUGUAGCUUCCCGAGAGUUCUGUGCGGUGCAACUGGUGCCGCAAGUGGUGAAGCUGAGUGACGUCUGGACUUGAAACCAGCAGGUUUAUUUGUGGCCUUUGCUCUUUUGCCUUGCAUCCUCUUUGCACAGAAUUUUUUCUGAUAUUGAUCAGAACUGAUACCAGUAUUAUUACAUGCAGAGUGAGAGCGUGCCUUGUGCGAUGCGUAUAUUUGAAGGUUUACUUUGCCGACAAAGUGCAAAAAAAUGCUGACAGUUCUAUAGCAUUGUGGCUUGUGAGAUUAUCAGGAACUGUGAUAGCAUCAUUUUGAAGUUGGAGAAGGCCGUGGUUAUUAUAUUUAUAGACGUUGCCCUUUGCUAUUAUUACUUUUAUUGCACAAUGGAUUGUCUUUCUGGGAUGGCCAAACCAGGAUAGUUCUGAGUUUAUUUAUUUUGAUUCAUUUGCAGGCACUUUGCUGUCUCCUGUAUAUGCUAUAGCAAAGCCCUGCAAGCAAUAUUGUAUAGUAUAUACAAUAUCUCUAGAACACUAUAUGUAGCAUAAGUGUAUAGUAUACAUUCCAACAGUCAAGUUCGUUUGUUUCUCAUUAUUUAACACCAGGCUUCACUAAUAUUCACUGCAUUGAGUAUGGUAAACAAUAGAUUGGAAUUGGUGGUCAUACUCUGUAUAAUAUAUAUAAUGUUGCUUUUGAUUAGCCAUUUUGCUCCUAUAUUUUGUUUUUCUAUAUUUAUUAAUCACUUGUGACUACACACAACAAAGAGCAAGCAAGGCACAAAUGUAGUUGUCUCACUGUUCCUAAUUAAAAUGUUCAGUGUGUGAAUGAUAAAAUACAAGGCUCGUAAUACAAGUGGACACUUAAAACCAUUGAACAAGUGGCAUCUUGACAUGCACUGAUUAUUUUUAUUUUUUACUCAAAUCGACAAAAGCUUUGUUGCCCAAUGCUGUAUGAAAAUGGAAAGACGAUCUGGUUUGUUAUUGUUCAUUAUUUAUUAACUGUGUAAAACAGGCAGCAUACAAGAAACAAACGAAAAACCACAAGCAAGGCAAGUGUUAAUGCUGUAUCUCUCUUCAUUAACUGCUCUUUGCAUGUGGCCACUUGAACAACAAGGUAUUUUUAAAGCACUCACUAAAUUUUGUUUAUUCACUUGAACUUGCAGCUAAUAACACAAAUUUAAGCACAGUUUCAGAGCUAUGUAAGCAACUUUGUGGCAUUGUCUUCAACUGUUGAGCACCGUAUCUAUCUGAUAAUAAUUUCCUACGCUGAGUGUUAAUAAUUUGUGCACAGCCUAAGAGGCCGCUUAGCAAAGCCAGUUUCGACUGGUGUGCGCUAGUGAAACUCUGAAUUUUUGCACACAUGCCCAUUGUCACCAUCUAGUCGUUCUCUGUGACAAAUGACAAGAGAGAGAAGUCUAUUGAUGUGAAAGGCAGAGAUGGUGGUCUGAGGUAUAUUCACACUGGAAUAAGGGGAUUCAUGGGAUUCUAUCUUUUUGUUCAUUGCAAGCAUGCUUCUGUAAUGUUUCAGUACAAAAUAAUAUGCAAAUUAGUAAUUUAGGUAGCUCAUUUUAUAAGUAGUAUAUGCUGUACUGUUACGCCGGUGAUCGAAUCAGUGGCCAAAUGAAGUUUUAGGAUUGUGCACAAUUCGCUUUAUUUCUUUUUUUACUUUGAACGAUGUGAUUGUGCCACUCACAAUGAAAAUGAUAAUGUUUAAGAUUGUGGUGCUAUCAAACCACUACUGCCAGAGCCUGUGUCAUUCACACCUUGUGUAUCGAAACUAGUAUUUCCGUGGAAUCGUCUUGAUGCUCAACUCUUCCACUAGUGAGAUAUAACAGUUCAUUGCAUUGAGGACAAAUAAUAAGGAAAGUAAAAUAUGUAAUUGCACAUUACUUAUUAUCCGCCACGGUAGCUUAGUGGCUAUGGUGUUGCACUGUUGACUACAAUGGCAUAAGUUUGAUUCCAGGCCACGGCAGCCACACGUUAAUGGACACAAAAUGCAAAAAAAAAUGCUUCUAAGUGCAAAAGACAGAAUGCAAAAAUCCUUGAUGGUCGAAAAAAAUACAAAGCUGCCCACUUCAGUGUCUCAUAGUUCGUGAACCGCCUUGAGAUGUUAAACCACAUAAACUUAUUUUUUAACAGUGUGCCUUAUAAUGGGUCUAAUAUAUCAGUGUUCCCUUGCUGUGUGUCACUGCCAACGUCACUGCUGCGAGCAGUCUUUGUGGCACUUAAGUUAGAUCUACUGUUUGUUACAACGGAUCUCCUGCACUUUUUAACUUUGAAUGCCAAGUGCUUUAAAGAAAAUUGUUUUUGUCACAUGCAAGAUAUGGUAGACCCUUAUUGUAACGAGAUAUUCUGGAGACGAAAGUUUGUUAUAAGCAGCUAGUGUUUCAUUAAAAGCUUAGGUGCUCUAAAAGAGCCUUAGUAACACAGAAACUAUAGUCUGGCAGUCAACCAGUCCAGAGGUUCGUGAAACUAACGAGCACAGAAACAGAGCUGUGUUUGAUAAAUGCGUCGCCAUAACAAUUAUAUUCUGAUGAUGGCUGUCAACAGCUGCGCCAUCUCGUUCGUGAUAAAUAGAUGCAGCCAUAGACCGGAAGACUUGCUCCAACAUGGCAGGAUGACCAUCGCAUGUUCAGCACUUUGUGCCUGUGCAGUUUGGCACGGAGAAAAGCAAGGGUGUUUGUUAUGGCUUGUCACCCGUUCGCCGUUGACACAAAGUCGUCAACGGGGUAUGCAAGCUGGUUCGUCGUUCUGUACUCAUGAGAACACAGUGAAGGGCUCAGAGUCAGGAGAAAGAAAAAAAAAAAGAUAUUUAUCAGAUGACAAUGAUUCACUAACUAAAACAAAAAUGACACAAGAACACUAACACACAUGGAAUUAAUAUAUAUCAAUGAUGACAACAAUAUAAAUACAGUGAGCAAUUAACAGCGGAAUAAAGACUAACUACACAAGAAUACACUUAAUAGUGGCCCACUAAAACAGGGUUCAAAAGAAAAUAAAUGAUAGCAUACGCAUAGCCGGGCAUCAGCAGAAAGUCCAUAAACUGUGGAGUCGAUGGUAGAGCUUUCCUGAAAAACGCUGGUGAGCCGAUCUUGUUGCAGCGGAUACAAUUGUUGUGCUGGCUUUCCCGGAAGUCUAGAUCUGACGACUCUCCUCGAGCAGGUUGAGCUUCAUUGCAGAGGUUAGUUUGUCGUCUCUUAUGUCAACUAGUCACUCAGAGUUCUGAGGGACAAGAUGGCUAGGCGGCCCAGGUGACACUGGACGGCACUAGCCCCUCAACUCUUCUCAGUAGAUUAUAGACUCAGCAUCUAGACUGCCUAGCUGGGGCUAAAACCUGCAUUUAAAUAACUUCUCUAUUCCCUUGUUCCCUGUGAAGGGAACGGCGGAUAUUGGAGAUGAUCCAAUCAAGUUCACCCAAUUGUACCAUGACUCCUUCCGAAGUCAUAGCCGCACCUUCUUUAAUUGGGGGUGAAGGAACGGAUGAUUCCUCCCCAUUGUUAGAGGUCGUGCCCUUGCAUUGCACCACACAGACACAUAUGCACAUCCUUUAAUCUGUGGUGGACCUCUGUUGUGCAUUGACAAACAUAGAAGAAACAAUGGCAGCCGGCCAUAUGGUGCCAAACCCUCUGACAUGCAUACACUGUUCGAAAUUUGUGGACACAGGAUUGCACAGAGGCACCACAUAUUUCGGGGUAUUCGUAACCCCUCCCAUCUUGGCAAGCUUCUCAAUGCAUGCACGGGGCAGAGAAUGCACAGGGGUUUCUACAAAAAGGCUCUCGAGGCGUCAAGGUCACGCCAACCAAAAAAUAAAUAAUCUCUAAACUUGCCUUCAACGUUUUCAACCACUUACCCGAGUGGCUGGCAAUACCCGUAUUGCUCGCCGGUUCCUGCUCCCAUGGCCUUUUGGCGCCUGUUGAUCGGUGCUUCGCUGACUCGAACAAUGACGCACCGUAACAGUGUUGCAGUGUGUAUGCUGUGCCAAGUUCGCACUUCAUACUAAGUGGAGUCGGGCAUUACUACAUUUAGAAUACUCUGGUGUAGAAUGUGUAGACUGCAAUCAAGACCUUGUAGGGACAUUUGAUUAAAGUUAUUUCGUUAUAACGUGGGUUUGCUGUAGCUUUGGGAAGUAAUUUCUUGCCCUAACGUAGCUCAAGUGUUUGCCUAUAAUAUAGGUAAGCUUUUAACUGAUGCGCACAACUUUUUACACUGCCAACUCAGAAAAGAAAAGACUGCCUUUCUGACUCGAUGGGUGUGGCUUUGUGCUUUGCCUGUCCUGAAUGUGUUUGCAUAUGUUCUCAGUGUUCAGAUUUAUCUUGUGAAUGUGACUGCAGAUAUGCAGACUCCUCGCAUCUGCCUGUUUGUAAGUGUGGAGUGCUGAAUUCGUUGCAUCCAAAUGAGCACCAUUUCUCGUCCUCUUUAUGCUCAGGCUCUUCGGAUUAGUUUGUGGGCGUCAGCGCUCUUAUUGGUGCCUUUCUUUUAUACUGUGAUAUGCAAGGCAAUUGCAUUAUGUCUCUAUUGUGUCAUGAUCUUUGUCGAUUCUUACAAAGUGUGCCUGUCAUCAUUUAAUCACUAUAUAUAUGUACACCAUUUUACUUCUUGCAUUGCAAAUGUGUUUGGUGGCGUGUACACCAUUUAAUUUCAGCUGUUCCCAAGUUGUAAAUAAAGAUAAUUUUCCAUCA